rnacentral:lncRNA from 1 species
CGAAGAAGAAUCAAAACUCAAACUCAUACGGGGGUUAGCAGAAAUAUUCCUCGUUUUUCCUGAUUUCUUUCUUCACUCGUUUCUUUUGCAGACUCUUUUUCUUUUUCAUUCGAUGUUUUUUCAAACUCUCUUUCUUUUUCUUUUUCAUUUUCUUUUCUUUCAAUUUCUUUUUCUUUUUCAUUUUCUCGUUCGCACUCUUUUUCUUUUUCCUUUCUUUCAAUUUCUUUUUCAUUUUCACUUUCUCGCUUGCACUAUUUUUCUUUUUCUUUUGCCUCACUUGUUUUUACAAAAGAAUUUUUCAAUUGUAUUCAAGUGUGGCGAAUUGGUCUUGGUCUUAGUUGAAGGGAAUUUUUUUUGCUGAUCAGACAC